ensembl:lncRNA
UUUGUUCUUCAAUGAUUUUAUUUUCUGUAUAUCAAAGAAAGCAUAAUGGAGACCAAACACAAAAGGCAGGUACAAGUGAGGAGGAAAAAUAAGCUUAAUCAAAAAUCUAACAAUUCAGAACAACACUGCCACUAUUAUUGUUCAAUAUUCAUAGGAAUACCAGACUCUUUCUGAGCAGAGUGGUGGCAUUUAAAACCAUUAUGAAUCAAUAAUCAAAAACAGUGAUGAGUAGUAAUAAUAAAUCGUAUAAGUAGUAGUACAGUUAUAACAAUAGUGAUAAUCAAAGUGACAAUGAAACAUAAGAGAAUAAAAAGCAGAUCUCCAUAAAAACGUAUCUAGUUUGGACAGUGCAACACCAUGUCUAUGUGUGUGCGCGUGUGUAAUCCCAGUCUUGAGGAUCAAGCACUCCAGUCCCUGCUUUACACACAAGAUACAGUUUCCAACAGGAGUAAGAAAUUAUUAGUUGUCAAAGGACAGCAUUACCCUCCUUGUUUCAAAAAACCACACCGAGUGACUCUUAAAUGUUGUGGUGAUGGCUGUGUUCAUUUGAAAUGCCUGUAGCUUGUGCAAAAAUUGUGGACUAGUGCAAGUGUCAAGCCGUGGGACGUCCUUUACAGUUUGCAUUUGCGAACACCUCUCCUGCUCUCUGUCAACCUAAAGAUUGCUUUUUGGUUUUUGAAUGACAGAAAGCAAAGGGAGGAUUACUUUGGAAUAUCAGGUUUUUUUUUUUUAAUAUAUUUCUUUACAAAAAAAAAGUUCAUGUUUAGUUUUGCAUUUUGUUAAAACUAUCAAUAGUAACAUUAAUAUACAACUUAAAUUGAAGGAAAACAUCUUUAGUAUGUUAAGUGUCCUUCAACACAGCACCAUCUUAUUAGCUCUCACUCCACACACUUUUUUUCUUUUAGGUUUCCUAAUUUGCUUCCUAGAUUUGAAUAUCUGUUUGUCCCUUAAGGAUGCUUGUAAUACCCAGCUGUCUCCCUUGUUGUGGUUUCAGAUAUUAGCUCUCGUUUCACAGCACAAACAUUACAAGAAUCACCCACUCUGCUUCAAAACUGAGGGGGGGAGGGGGAGGAGAAGAAAAAAAACAAAAACCCAAGAGGAAAACAAGUAUGGGGAGGAGGGGGACAAACCAUUUCAAACCCUGCUGUCUCAGUCUAGAGUUUUGGCUUUUGACCUAAAAAAAAAAUCUUAAAAAAAAAAAAAAAAAAAGAAUAAAGAUCUGUUAUGCCAGAUUUGAAUUGCUUUUUGUAUCAUUUGUAUAAAUAUUGAAAUGAUUACAGAAAUUCGUAACUUUGCUGUCUAAAGCCCCUUUCAGUGGUGACGGCAUCCGUCGGCUCCUUGUCCGAAUCGACAUGCAGGUCACCUGUGUGUAAAAGGUAGUGCGCCAGCCUGGUUAACACUCAGGUAUCACUUUGAGCGCGCACACACACACACGCACACACACACACACGCGCACACACACACACACACACACACACACACACACGCACACACACACGCGCGCACACACACACACACGCACACACGCGCACACACACACACACAGAGCAUGCUGUUGGCAAGUUUUCUACACAGUUUGUAAUCUGCUAUACAUUGAAAAUAUUCUUCUAUGGUGCAUUUUCAUUAAUCCCAAGUCAGAAGGGAUGUGUUUCGGAGCCUGUGUAGGAGGGAUGGGGAAUCAUCAGUCUUAGCAGCACCAUGCAGCACACAAAAGUGACCUACAAAAUGGGGGGUUAGCCAUCCUUUUUUAAAGAGACUAGUGAAGCCAGGAAUUUUAAGUCUGAAAAGGGCUUUAUACAUAGUAUUCGCAAAAAAACCAAAAAACAAACAAACAAAAAAAAACCCAACACACACACACACACACACGGUGAGGAAAUCAGCCCAAUUUGUCAAAUUCAGACUGAAUUCUCCAACAGGAAUCUCCCGGACUUGGACGUGUAUCCGACAGUAGCCGUUUUAAAAAAAAAAAAAAAAAAAAAGUAAUCUUCACCCACCAGUCUGAAGAGCUAAAUUCCAAAAUGAGACGCACACAUUUGGGUAGGAAGUGAAAUUGUGAAAUUUACAGCAAACGUGUGAAAGCAUGAUAGUUUGUAAUUCUACACCUUGGCCAAGAGAUUGCUGACAACUUUAUAAACAUGUGACAUUCACAAAUAUUCUCCCAAAAACAAAAAAACGUUAAUGUAAAAGCAUUUUGGAAUAAAGCUCUUCUUCAAUACGCCCAAGUAUUAUACUCACACCUAAAGCAUGUUUCAUUUGAUUAGGGAAAAAAAAACAAAAAUCAAAAAAAAAAAAAAAAAAAAAAAAAAAAAAAAAACAACAAAAAAACUAUUUCACUUUAUAUUAAGGCAUCCAACAUGCAUCAGCGUAUCCUUCCAUAAAAGACACCUGCAUUCGAAUGCUUAAAAACAUUUCAAAACAAUGUAAAAUGUGUCAAAGUGCGGUAUGCCAAAGAUUCUACUUCCCUCAGCCUCUUUUUGCGCUGCCUAUUUGGAUUGUCGUGAAACUAUGAACAUGAAUAUGGGAACAAUUCAACAGCCCUAUUCUCUCCAAAGUACCUCCUUUUAUAUCCCAAAGUAGUGAGUAGACAAAACUCUUCAUUUCACCCUUCUGUGGCAAUUAAAAAGGGUGGCGGUUAAGACCAGUUCUUUCUCUCCCAAUGAUUUAGUCCAGUCGUAUUUUAUCCAAGCAAUCUUUGCCCUAAAAGUGAAAGUAGGCGUGAGAAAAACAAUUCCACAGGAGCAAAGUGGGAGUUAUACAUGUCAGCAUUUCCAUGUUAUCCCAAAAAGUGUUUCCCAAAAAUCCCCCCAUGGCCUCUGCCAAAAAAAGAAAGAAAAAAGAAAAAGGAAACACUUGCAUCAGUUUUUAGGGUACAACAGCUCAAGCGUGGCAAGCUGAGUGCCUUUACAAAUUAUAGGAAGGUCAUAGAAGUAAGGUAAUACAUAACCACAGGGUUAGGACCAAAAAUGUCUGGAUAAAAUGAGGAUUAAGGGAACUCUGAGGAGGGUGGGGGUGUUAUCACUUAUCAGACAGCAACUGAUUAAGUGACAAGCAGCAAGAAAAGAGUCUGCUGUUGUAUUUGAUACCAGGUGAGCUCUACAGAUAACGGAUAUCAAGUCAGUGUAGGUUGAGCAAAGGAUAGCGGGUGCAAGGGGGGAGCAAACAUCAAAAACUAAAGAAUAUUAGUUUUUGAGGAUUAGUGCUC